CCCUAAUGAGGGACUGUUGCCUCUGGGGAGUGGGUAUGAGAAAGGGGACGUUCACCUCCAGGUCAACAUCGCACAGGCUGCCUUGUCUCUGAUGACCAGCAACCCCAAGCCGAGACAGCUGCCAGGGCUCCUCCAUUAAAUGCCUGAGCCUCUCGGGGCCGCUGGGGAGGCCAGGCCACAUCCCAGCCAUCACCAUCACAAUGGCCUGCGGGUGGUAGUCUCCAGGGACAAGCCACACUUUGAAUGGGCAGAAAUUGGUUCUUGAAACCCUAGGUUGCAUUACUGGCAGCUGGGGGCAGGAGGAUCUAGUUUCUCUUGCUAUUAUUCCACUGUCUUUCCAAGCACCCCAACAACUCUCAGAACAAAUGCGUGUCCCCCGAAAAUUGCAAUAACUGUGUGAUUUUUGUCCUAUGUGAAAUCCCUCAUGAAGCCAUGUGCUUUUAAUUGAUUUUCCAAUUUAUAAAAUUGGAAAUGGAUUAAAAUAAUCAUGAGCGAAAAGAUGGAAAAAACUACCAUCAUGCCAUUACCCAAGCACAGCUGUUAUGAUUUGAUAUACUUCCUUUCCAUCUUUUCAUUUGGGGAGUGUAAUCUUCAGCUCUUUUCUCUUAAGGCCUGACAUUUUAAGUAUUUUCUGUGUUGUCACAUAAUUGUCAUAACCAUUAUCUUAAAAGGUACACAGUAGUUUAUUGACUAGGAAUUUAGUAAUUUAUCCUUAUUAUAGGGAAUCAAGAUUGCUUUCAAAUUUUUACUCCUACCAAUAACAGAGUGAUGAAUAAUGUUUAUGUGGCUUUUUUCAUAUUCUAAAUUAAUCUCUUAGAUUAACUAAUCCCCAAAUUUAACUUUUACAUUGGAGUAUGGACAUUUUUAUGGCUCUUGAUUCAUAUUACUAAAUUAUACAUACCGCAUUAUUCUUUUCAGAGUUGCUUCCCUUCUCCUUCAGUUUUGUAUCUCUUCAAAAUAAAUAGUAGUGCAGAAAUGAAACAGUUCACGUGGAUGGACUGGCUAGCCUAUUUCUGCAGACCUGUAAAAGUCGACUGUGUUUUUUUCUUUUAUGUCAGUAUAUCUUAACAGUUCACGUAAACACAUUAAAAUUUUCAAAUAAAAUUAUGAAACUUAUUUUAGUGUUAUU
rnacentral:lncRNA from 1 species